GAUGAGCGCUGGCGGCGUGCCUAAUACAUGCAAGUCGAGCGAACGGACGAGAAGCUUGCUUCUCUGAUGUUAGCGGCGGACGGGUGAGUAACACGUGGAUAACCUACCUAUAAGACUGGGAUAACUUCGGGAAACCGGAGCUAAUACCGGAUAAUAUUUUGAACCGCAUGGUUCAAAAGUGAAAGACGGUCUUGCUGUCACUUAUGGAUGUAUCCGCGCUGCAUUAGCUAGUUGGUAAGGUAACGGCUUACCAAGGCAACGAUGCAUAGCCGACCUGAGAGGGUGAUCGGCCACACUGGAACUGAGACACGGUCCAGACUCCUACGGGAGGCAGCAGUAGGGAAUCUUCCGCAAUGGGCGAAAGCCUGACGGAGCAACGCCGCGUGAGUGAUGAAGGUCUUCGGAUCGUAAAACUCUGUUAUUAGGGAAGAACAUAUGUGUAAGUAACUGUGCACAUCUUGACGGUACCUAAUCAGAAAGCCACGGCUAACUACGUG
rnacentral:rRNA from 1 species